UUUUAUUCAAUACUCAACCAACACUCAUUUUCUCUCAAACCAACGAAAUUUGUUGCUAAAUCAGUCCCUUUAUCAAGCCCCACAUGCCCCAUAAUCCAAUCACAAACAACUUGGAGAGCAAAAAUCAAAAAUCAAGGCAUAAAGGUAUAAAAACCCUAAUUUUCGAAAUCCUUUGAUUUGAUGUUAAUUGUUGAAAUUGAUUUGUUAAAUAUGUGUAAUAAGGAGUGUAUUAAUGUUCUGGGUUGUUAGAUUCAUGACCCAUAACAUCAAAGUGCUCAAAAUCAAAGUUUUUCCAACUUUUAAAAAAAACGAAAUCUGUUAUUUUUAGGCAAAUGUCAGGCCUUAUAUCUCUGUGAUUAUUUAGUCUUUUUGGUGUUUGUAAGUUGUUAUAUGUAGUAUGUAAUAUGCUCUUUAAGGUACAAAAAGAAUCAAGUUCAUAUCUGUUAUAUAUCAAGAGUUAUUCAUGGUCAAAACCCGUUGACCGAAACUGCUCAAGAACACGAACCCAGAAUUUUAUGAACAAUUUCCGUGGUGAACUUUGACCGGAUAUUUCCAGUUAGAUAUGUUGUUGUUAUAUGUAUAUUAUGUAUUAUAGUUGUAGUCCUACAUGAGUUCUACACACUGGAAUUGAUAGAUCACACAAACAUUACAUGGAUUGCAAGUUAUAGAGGUCCAAAGUAGGCACCUCGAACUGUUCUUUGUGAAGAACAGCUCUGACAGCUAUUUUGAUGGCCAAUAUCUCCCAGAUCUGAUGUUGUUAAGCCAUGAUUGUUGUUGGUAAUUAUAGUCUUACAUGAGCACUACAAGACUCAAUUUAUAGAUUGUCCAAAUUCGUUCGGAUGAGAGAGUUAUACUCGGUCAAAGUAGCCCUCUCGAUCACUGCCUUAUGAAAUCUGGGUUGGUGAAGAACACCAUUAGCGACGGUUUCUGUCGCCUAAACCCUAUAGCGACGGUUUUGUAUUAUUUUUAAUUUCUGUAUUUUCCGAAAAUGAUUAAAAAUUAGAAAAAAUUAGAUUUUAAUUAUUAUAAAUACGAAAUAAAUUCUGAAAAAUUAUUUUAAAGUCUGAAAAAUAGUUUUUAAUUAUUUUGGGCAUAUUUCGAAAAUAUUUAAUAUUUUUGGAAUGUAAGAAGUAUUUAAUUUAUUUAAUUACAAUAUUAGAUAA
rnacentral:lncRNA from 1 species